GGAAUCUUCCGCAAUGGACGAAAGUCUGACGGAGCAACGCCGCGUGAGUGAUGAAGGUUUUCGGAUCGUAAAGCUCUGUUGCCAGGGAAGAACGUCUUGUAGAGUAACUGCUACGAGAGUGACGGUACCUGAGAAGAAAGCCCCGGCUAACUACGUGCCAGCAGCCGCGGUAAUACGUAGGGGGCAAGCGUUGUCCGGAAUUAUUGGGCGUAAAGCGCGCGCAGGCGGCUCUUUAAGUCUGGUGUUUAAUCCCGAGGCUCAACUUCGGGUCGCACUGGAAACUGGAGAGCUUGAGUGCAGAAGAGGAGAGUGGAAUUCCACGUGUAGCGGUGAAAUGCGUAGAGAUGUGGAGGAACACCAGUGGCGAAGGCGACUCUCUGGGCUGUAACUGACGCUGAGGCGCGAAAGCGUGGGGAGCAAACAGGA
rnacentral:misc_RNA from 1 species